CAAAACCCACCACUGAGAACAAAAGGAUAAAAACUAGAAGCAAAAUUCACAGUAUGAGUAAAUGCAGUUUUACCUCAGUCUCUGCAUGGAAAUGCUCAAAAAAGUAAGAGGAAACAUCACUGAAUAGUUACCUUCCUCUAAAAACAUGAGCAUGAAUAGACUUGCUAAGGUGGUGAUCAUUCACAGGGAUGCAAAACAGAUGCAGAGGGCUCCUCCUGUUCAUGAUUCUUGAUGGCUUAGAAAAGCUUUGCUCUUAGCACUUGCAAAAGGUUGGAGCAUAGGCAGCUUCCUGUUCAUCAAUUAAGGACCUGAUUGACUAGUUGCAUGAAAUGAGAAGCACAAUGUACUGUCACGUUAACCAGGAAGGUACAGCUUCCAAACCUGAGAUAGUACUGAGGGGUCGCACGAUUACCGACCAUCUUUCUCCAGGCUUUCUUUGCUACCUCAUUUGAG
rnacentral:lncRNA from 1 species